CUACUCCUAUUGCCAUGACAAUUGGAAAAACUACUUAUCUUGGUUUACCUUUGUGGAGUUGUGAUUCCUUAGUCAAGGAUAUCAUGACCAUCUGAAAACAGAAAUCUAUUUUGAUCCGUGAAGACAAUUUCAAUGUNUGUUGUGUGUGCAGUAACCACUGUAGUUAAAUCCGUAAUCUAGUUAUCUGGUUCAGUAAAUAUAUUUACUUCCAACUUUCACUUUAUAUACUCCAAUUUGGUGGAAAAGUAAAUUAAUUAAAGAAAAAUACUUUUUUAUAUUUUGGUGCUUAAAUUUUGUGAAAUAAAUGUGUGCAGGGGUUCAUGACUCGUUUUGGACACAUGCAUGUGACGUGGAGAAAAUGAGUCACAUUCUUAGAGAAAAGUUUGUGGAGCUAUAUAACAUGCCAAUACUUGAAAAUUUGUUGGAAGGUUUUGAGACAUCAUACCCGGGAUUAGCUUUCCCUCCUGUGCCAGAGAGAGGUCAUUUUGACUUGGGGAAGNUUCUCGAGUCUCCAUACUUCUUCAACUGAACGUUCCUUCAAAGGAAGCUAUUACAAUAUUCCAUGGAAGUGUUGUUACCUUCACUUUUGAGGCAAAAUAGUUCAGAAUCUUCUGCUUCUUAGANAACACUUCAUCCGGUCGGAAGUUGUGAUUCAAAGAAAGACCCCAAGUUGCUUUUGGGAAAGGCCUGGAAAGAAAUCUCCUGUUACUAGAAUGCUCAAACAAUACUUAUUUGGCUGGUUUAAGAAGAGAAAAACGUUCAUCAUUUCUUACAUAUCUAAUAUUGGCGAUUUCCUCGACUCAAACUNAGUUUGUAGAAAGGCUUAAGCACAAUGCGGAGCUGAAGACCNUAGCUGAUUUUGAUAAUGUAAACCAUUUUCUUUCUGUUUACCUGUAUGAUGUAUGAAUAUCUGUAUUACAUCUAAGAUUGAAAGAUAGAUCGUUAGGCAUAGAAUAAAUCAUUUUUGUAACUUGUACAUAGAGUUAUUCAUUUCAUUAACUUCAAUUAUAUAUUAAAAUUAUAUCAA